AUUGAACGCUGGCGGCGUGCCUAACACAUGCAAGUCGAGCGGUAACAGGUGUAGCAAUACAUGCUGACGAGCGGCGGACGGGUGAGUAACGCUUGGGAAUCUGCCUAUUAGUGGGGGACAACCCGGGGAAACUCGGGCUAAUACCGCAUACGCUCUACGGAGGAAAGCCGGGGACCGCAAGGCCUGGCGCUAAUAGAUGAGCCCAAGUCGGAUUAGCUAGUUGGUAGGGUAAUGGCCUACCAAGGCGACGAUCCGUAACUGGUCUGAGAGGACGACCAGUCACACCGGAACUGAGACACGGUCCGGACUCCUACGGGAGGCAGCAGGUGGGGAAUAUUGGACAAUGGGCGAAAGCCUGAUCCAGCGACGCCGCGUGGGUGAAGAAGGCC
rnacentral:rRNA from 1 species